rnacentral:rRNA from 1 species
UACGUAGGGGGCAAGCGUUAUCCGGAUUUACUGGGUGUAAAGGGAGCGUAGACGGCUGUGCAAGUCUGAAGUGAAAGCCCGGGGCUCAACCCCGGGACUGCUUUGGAAACUGUAUAGCUAGAGUGCUGGAGAGGUAAGUGGAAUUCCUAGUGUAGCGGUGAAAUGCGUAGAUAUUAGGAGGAACACCAGUGGCGAAGGCGGCUUACUGGACAGUGACUGACGUUGAGGCUCGAAAGCGUGGGGAGCAAACAGG